GUGGUUGAGAGCCGAGUCUAUCCGAGGAGCCUGGGUACAUGGGAGUUGCAGCAUAUGGGAUCUAAUUCUCUGACCAGGGAUUGAAUCUGGACCCCUUGCAUUGGGAGCAUGGAGUCUUAGCCACUGGAUCACCAAAGAAGUCCCAGUCCUCACAUUUUCUGACAGCUUACUACAUGCCAGUCCUCCUAGAUGAGAGACCUGAUGUAGCAACAUGGGUGACCUUUCUGUCCUUCGAGAAGGAAUGACUAAAACAAGGCUAGAGAUGGAGAAGUAUUCUGGUCCUUGGCAGUUCCUCCAGGACACUACUGAUGUGCUUUUCUACGUGGGAGACCUCAGCAUACUACAGAAUUUCUGUUCCCAAGACACCUCCAGCUUUAUCUAGAAUCCCCUUUCCC
ensembl:lncRNA